CCAUGCAGUCGACGGUAACAGGUCUUCGGAUGCUGACGAGUGGCGGACGGGUGAGUAUUACAUCGGAACGCGCCCGAUCGUGGGGGAUAACGAGGCGAAAGCUUUGCUAAUACCGCAUACGAUCUACGGAUGAAAGCGGGGGAUCUUCGGACCUCGCGCGGACGGAGCGGCCGAUGGCAGAUUAGGUAGUUGGUGGGAUAAAAGCUUACCAAGCCGACGAUCUGUAGCUGGUCUGAGAGGAUGAUCAGCCACACUGGGACUGAGACACGGCCCAGACUCCUACGGGAGGCAGCAGUGGGGAAUUUUGGACAAUGGGCGAAAGCCUGAUCCAGCCAUGCCGCGUGCAGGGUGAAGGGCCUUCGGGGUUUGUAAACUGCUUUUGUACGGGAACGAAAAGCCUCUCUCUAAUAAAAGA
rnacentral:rRNA from 1 species